rnacentral:tRNA from 1 species
AAAGAAUUAGUUAAAAUAUAACAUUAGUAUGUCAAACUAAAAUUAUUAAAUUAUUAUUAUUCUUUA